rnacentral:lncRNA from 1 species
AAUUUCAUGUCCAUGGAGUGUCGGGUGAGGAUUUGGGGUUUGGGGUCAGGAUUUGGGAUUUUGGGGUCAGGAUUUGGGGUCAGGAUUUGGGAUUUUGGGGUUUGGGGUGCCCGCCUGUCGUCGCAGUAGGUGAAUUUCAUGUCCAUGGAGUGUCGGGUGAGGACGGUGCCCGAGCCCAGCGGGGCCUCGAUGGCUCCGGGGUGGGCGAUGGCCUCGCAGAUCAGCACCAGGCACCGCACGGGCCCCGAGCCCGGCCCCGAGUACGUGCGCAUGUGCCCGGCGCAGUGCAGCACCUGGGGGAGCCCCAAAUCACCCAAAAACACACAAAAACACCCAAAAUUCACACAAAAACACACAAAAUUCACCCAAAAACACCCCAAAAACACACAAAAUUCACCCAAAAACACCCAAAAUUCACCCAGAAAUACCCCAAAACACCCCAAAACCACCCAAAAUUCACCCAAAAACACCCAAAAACACCCUAAAAACACCCCCAAAAUCACCCCGUGCAGUGCAGCACCUGGGGGAGCCCUGAAAACACCCCAAAUCACCCCAAAAACACCCAAAAUUCACCCUAAAAACACCCAAAAUCACACCCAAAAACACACCCGAAAACACCCCAAAAUUACCCCCAAAUCACACCCAAAAUUACCCCAAAUCCACCCCAAAAACACCCCAAAAUCACACCCAAAAUCACCCCACGCAGUGCAGCACCUGCAGGGAGCCCCGAAAUCACCCCAAAACCACCCAAAAUCACCCCUGAAAACACCCCAAAUUCACCUCCAAAAUCAGCCCCAAAUUCACCCAAAAUCCCCCCAAAAUCCCGCCCGGAAACCUCCCGAAAAUUCCCGAAAUUCCCCCGGAAUUCUCCCCUGGGAUCCUCCCCAAAUAUCCCGAAAAUAUCCCCAAAAUAUCCCGAAAUAUCCCCAAAAAAUAUCCCCAAAAUAUCCCCAAAUAUCCCAAAAUAUCCCCAAAAAUAUCCCCAAAAUAUCCCCAAAAUAUCCCCAAAAAAUAUCCCCAAAAUAUCCCAAAAUAUCCUGAAAUGCCCCCAAAACAUCCCCGAAAUGUCCCCAAACGUCCCCAAAAUCCCCAAAUCCCCCAAAUUUUCCCAAAAUCCCCCAAAUUCCCCCCAAAUCCCCCCGCACCUUCCAGGACGCCGCUUUCAGGUUGAGGCAGCGCCCGCGGCCGCUCAGGGUGCUCUUCAUGCGCAGGGAGAAACUGAGGCCCGAGCGCUCCCCCCGCCGCCGGACACCCCCUGGGGGGGUUCCCGGAAUUGGGGAGGGGUCCCGGGGGUC